GUGCUCACUUUGGCAGCACAUAUACUAAAAUUGGAGUGAUACGAAGAAGAUUAGCAUGACUCCUGAGCAAGGUUGACACAAAUUCGUGAAGCAUUCCAUAUUUUU
ensembl:snRNA U6 U6 spliceosomal RNA